AGCUAAGUGAGGUCACAGGGAGGGGCCCCUACCCUGUAUAAUUGUAUCUUUAUAAGGAGUGAAAGAGACACCAUCUACGGCUUCGCUCCUGGGGAGCCAGAAGCAUGGAAUCAGAAUUCCACUCUCCAGGUGGGAACGUUGUGAUGGAAUACGCUCUGAGAGAUAGAGGAGGCGACUUCUGCCAGGAGUGAUCAGGAGGACUUCUUGGAGGAGGCAGCACUUGAGCUGGUCUUGAAAGAUGAUGAGAUUUUAAUGGGAAAAGAGAUGAUCGAGAAGAACCUUCUAGCAGGAGGGAGCUGCCCUAGCAAAGACAGGAAGGCUGGAAAAUGCGAGAAGUGGGACAGGAAGAUCAACACAGGACCUCUCCCUUCUGAGCCAAACUGACACCUACCUCUUGCCAUGACAGGCCGCUCUUCUGGAGAUUAUAAACUAUUUAUUUUUAACAGAGAAACUGCCUUAGUUGGAGUUCUGGCUCUGCCACUUACUUAGGUAAGAAAGAACUUCUUGGGCCUCAGGCCCUCACCUGUAAAAGGGGCUGAAUAAUAGGAUUGUGCCUCUCUCCAAUGGGCUGUUAGAGGUUGGACUGCAUGCCCCCAAUACUCUUAUGCUGAGGCCUAACCCGGUGUGACUGCACAUGGAGACAGGGUGUGUAGGGAGGGGAUGAAGCUUGAUCAUGUCUGCCCUUAGCCUGACAUCCCCGCCAUGUAGGGCUCCAGGACUGCUGUGGCCUCAGCCCUUCCGGGCUCCAGGAGGCCCUGAUUCAUUGCUCUCCCCUCCCCCCUUGGCUGGCCUAGGUGCCUUGUCCUCUUUCUUGGGACGGUGCUCACUGACGGGCCCCAUGGGAGGAGGGAGACACGGCCAGCUGCCAUGCGGGAACAGCUGCCACAGCAUCGCCUCCUCCAGACAUUGCUCACCACCCCUGGCUUUCCUGAGCUUCUCACCAGCCCUGGUGGAAGUGAGCAAACAUGAUUACUUAUUCUUGUCUUCCCCAUCAGGAGGCCAGGGUGGGGGAAAGGCAGUGUGCCACUGAGUUGUUGGUCCUCUAACUUAGUGCUGGUCGCCCGCAUGUGCUCUAGGGCCUCGGGGCACGGUGCUGGGACAGCUCAGCUGGCAGACCUAGGACAGGGCUGGAAGGUGGGGGGCAGGGCUGGGGUCAGAACUUUUCUCCCUUCUUCCCUCCGGACUCAGGGAGGUCCCUUGGGCAAAUUCCUUGUCCAGACAGAGAUGUGUGGGGCGAGAGACACUCAGUCUCCUUAGGAGCAGUGAGCAGCGGGGGGCCCAAGACAACAGCCCCCUGUGGCCGCCUCCAGCCCCAGGACAGUGGCCUGAGCCCUGGGUCACCAUGCUCACUCCACCCAGCGCAGAAUUCUCCAGCGCCCAGCCUUGCAGAGGCAACGCGGCUCCGACAGGACCUGUAACCUCUUCCUGCCGCUUCUUUGUCAUGCAACCAGCCCUUCCCUCCAAAUCUUUCAAAAUCCUCUUCCCCAGGGGUCACUGCCCUGAUCUUCGGAGCAG
rnacentral:lncRNA from 1 species